rnacentral:rRNA from 1 species
UACGAAGGGGGCUAGCGUUGCUCGGAAUGACUGGGCGUAAAGGGCUCGUAGGCGGUUCAUACAGUCAGAUGUGAAAUUCCCGGGCUUAACCUGGGGGCUGCAUUUGAUACGUGUGGGCUUGAGUGAGGAAGAGGGUUGUGGAAUUCCCAGUGUAGAGGUGAAAUUCGUAGAUAUUGGGAAGAACACCGGUGGCGAAGGCGGGUCACUGGGCCGAUACUGACGCUGAGGAGCGAAAGCGU